rnacentral:rRNA from 1 species
GACGAACGCUGGCGGCGCGCCUAACACAUGCAAGUCGAACGAGAGAUGAGGAGCUUGCUCUUCAAAUCGAGUGGCGAACGGGUGAGUAACGCGUGAGGAACCUGCCUCAAAGAGGGGGACAACAGUUGGAAACGACUGCUAAUACCGCAUAAGCCCACGGCUCGGCAUCGAGCAGAGGGAAAAGGAGCAAUCCGCUUUGAGAUGGCCUCGCGUCCGAUUAGCUAGUUGGUGAGGUAAUGGCCCACCAAGGCGACGAUCGGUAGCCGGACUGAGAGGUUGAACGGCCACAUUGGGACUGAGACACGGCCCAGACUCCUACGGGAGGCAGCAGUGGGGAA